rnacentral:misc_RNA from 1 species
CGAAAUGCGAUAAGUAGUGUGAAUUGCAGAAUUCAGUGAAUCAUCGAAUCUUUGAACGCACAUUGCGCCCUUUGGUAUUCCUUAGGGCAUGCCUGUUCGAGCGUCAUUUAAACCUUCAAGCUCAGCUUGGUGAUGGGUGACUGUCCUCCCCUCGCGGGGGGGACUCGCCUCAAAAACAUUGGCGGCCGGUACAUUGGCUUCGAGCGCAGCAGAAACGCGGUCUCGAGUCCGGUGGAUCGGCUCCCAUAAGCCUUCUUUUUUAUUUUGACCUCGGAUCAGGUAGGGAUACCCGCUGAACUUAAGC